GCAGGUUCGGGUCGAACGCAGUGAGACAACGGAGCCGUUUACGGCGACGGCCCGUAGGGCGAGGCGAAGCCGAGUCAUCCUGCACGACCCACCA
rnacentral:sRNA from 1 species